AGCAUUCCCUAUCCGUGCUGAGAUUUCGUCACACAUUAGAACACAAGGGAUGAUGGAACUUCUAAGCUAAGUGAAGCG
rnacentral:pre_miRNA from 1 species